UACGUAGAAGGCGAACGUUAUCCGGAUUUACUGGGUGUAAAGCGGGUGUAGACGGUUUUUUAAGUCAGUUGUGAAAUCUACCAACUCAAUUGGGAGACUGCAAUUGAUACUGGAGAGCUUGAGGGCAUCAGAAGAAAGCAGAAUUCACGGUGUAGCGGUGAAAUGCGUAGAUAUCGUGAGGAAUACCAGUGGCGAAGGCGGCUUUCUAGGAUGCUCCUGACGUUGAGGCCCGAAAGUGUGGGGAGCGAAACGGAUUAGAUACCCGUGUAGUCCACACCCUAAACUUUGAAUACUAGGUAUAGGGGGUAUCGACCCUCUCUGUGCCGAAGCUAACACUCUAAGUAUUCCACCUGGGGACUACGGCCACAAGGCUAAA
rnacentral:rRNA from 1 species